GUACACGCUGUGACUAGCAUAUCAAUAAGCGGAGGAAAAGAAACUAACAAGGAUUCCCCUAGUAACGGCGAGUGAAGCGGGAAGAGCUCAAAUUUGAAAUCUUAAAGGGUUUCCCUUUACGAAUUGUAGUUUAAAGAAGUGUUUUCUGUUGAGGUUUUGGUAAAAGUUCUUUGGAAUAGGACAUCAUAGAGGGUGAGAAUCCCGUAUUUGACCUUUACUUUCAACUUUGUGAUACACUUUCAAAGAGUCGGAUUGUUCGGGAAUGCAGUCCAAAAUGGGUGGUAAAUUUCAUCUAAAGCUAAAUAUUGGCGAGAGACCGAUAGCGUACAAGUACCGUGAGGGAAAGAUGAAAAGAACUUUGAAAAGAGAGUUAAACAGUACGUGAAAUUGUCAAAAGGAAAGCGUUUGACACCAGUGUUGUUUUUCUGAAAAUCAAUUAAAGAACUGUUUAUGCUAAGUUGUUUAGACUUUAUCAGCUAUCUGUUUAGUUUUGAGCUUUUCUUUAAUGCACUUUUCAGUUAACAAGUCAACAUCAAUUUCUUUUGCUGUAAAAAAGCUUGAGGAAGGUGGCUUGAGAUUCGUCUUAAGUGUUUAUAGCCUCUUGCCUAUGCAGUCGGAGAGAUUGAGGUCUGCAGCGUAGAUCCUUCGGGGCUAAAUGCAUUUGUGCUAAGUUAUAGCAUUUUCAUAGACAACUUGUUGACUAUGAUUUGUCUUGUAGCUUACUCGCUUAUGUUAUUUUACCUACGCUUAGGAUGUUGAGUCGUAGAGCACGCAG
rnacentral:rRNA from 1 species